rnacentral:rRNA from 1 species
GACGUAGGGCGCAAGCGUUGUCCGGAUUUAUUGGGCGUAAAGAGCUCGUAGGCGGCUUGUCGCGUCGACUGUGAAAACCCACGGCUUAACCGUGGGACUGCAGUCGAUACGGGCUAGCUAGAGUUCGGUAGGGGAGACUGGAAUUCCUGGUGUAGCGGUGAAAUGCGCAGAUAUCAGGAGGAACGACCGGUGGCGAAGGCGGGUCUCUGGGCCGAUACUGACGCUGAGGAGCGAAAGCGUGGGGAGCGAACAGG